rnacentral:rRNA from 1 species
AUUGAACGCUGGCGGCAGGCCUAACACAUGCAAGUCGAGCGGGUGGGCGGACGGGUGCGUGAUGCCUAUGAAUCUGACUGGGCGUGGGGGAUGGCGACCGCAAACGGGCGCUAAUACCGCAUACUAUCAGAUGAGCCUGGGUCGGAUUAGCUAGUUCGUGGGGUAAGGGCCUAACAAGGCGACGAUCCGUAACUGGUCUGAGAGGAUGAGCAGUCACACUGGAACUGAGACACGGUCCAGACGCCUACGGGAGGCAGCAGUGGGGAAUAUUGGACAAUGGGCGAAAGCCUGAUGCAGCCAUGCCGCGUGUGUGAAGAAGGUCUUCGGAUUGUAAAGCACUUUAAGUGGGGAGGCGUUACCAACAGAAGAAGCACCGGCUAACUUCGUGCCAGCAGCCGCGGUAAUUC